rnacentral:rRNA from 1 species
GACGAACGCUGGCGGCGUGCUUAACACAUGCAAGUCGAACGGAAAGGCCCUGCUUUUGUGGGGUGCUCGAGUGGCGAACGGGUGAGUAACACGUGAGUAACCUGCCCUUGACUUUGGGAUAACUUCAGGAAACUGGGGCUAAUACCGGAUAGGAGCUCCUGCUGCAUGGUGGGGGUUGGAAAGUUUCGGCGGUUGGGGAUGGACUUGCGGCUUAUCAGCUUGUUGGUGGGGUAGUGGCUUACCAAGGCUUUGACGGGUAGCCGGCCUGAGAGGGUGACCGGCCACAUUGGGACUGAGAUACGGCCCAGACUCCUACGGGAGGCAGCAGUGGGGAAUAUUGCACAAUGGGCGGAAGCAUGAUGCAGCAACGCCGCGUGCGGGAUGACGGCCUUCGGGUUGUAAACCGCUUUCGCCUGUGACGAAGCGUGAGUGACGGUAAUGGGUAAAGAAGCACCGGCUAACUACGUG